rnacentral:rRNA from 1 species
AUUGAACGCUGGCGGCAUGCCUUACACAUGCAAGUCGAACGGCAGCACGGGUGCUUGCACCUGGUGGCGAGUGGCGAACGGGUGAGUAAUAUAUCGGAACGUACCUUAUCGUGGGGGAUAACGCAGCGAAAGCUGCGCUAAUACCGCAUACGCCCUGAGGGGGAAAGCGGGGGACCGUAAGGCCUCGCGCGAUUGGAUAUGCCCAGGUGGGAUUAGCUAGUUGGUGAGGUAAUGGCUCACCAAGGCGACGAUCCCUAGCUGGUCUGAGAGGAUGAUCAGCCACACUGGAACUGAGACACGGUCCAGACUCCUACGGGAGGCAGCAGUGGGGAAUAUUGCACAAUGGGGGGAAACCCUGGAUGCAGCCAUGCCGCGUGUGUGAAGAAGGCCUUCGGGUUGUAAAGCGACUUUCUAGCGAGGAGGAAAGGUCGAGUAGGCUAAUAUCUGCUGGCUGUGACGUUACUCGCAGAAGAAGA